GACAGUUGCCUCUGGCUCCUUAGGCUUUGGAAAGGAAUUAGAGCAUGUAAGGUUAUGUUGAUGUUUUUCAAAUCACAAAAAGUGUUUUAUUUUCAAAAGAGAAACUAACCUGUAAAUCUAGUUCUCCCUGUUUAAGAAGGCCAGAGGCAGGAGAGGGGGUCAGAAGGAGAACCUCCUUGGCAGGGCCAGGGCCUGGUUGCCCAGCAGCCAAAGAGCCGGGGGAGGGGCUCAGAGUGUUUGUCUGUCUCCACAGCAACUGCCAGGCGGGCUGCCGCUGCGGUGAGAGGGGGCUGAUGGCUGAGGGCUCUGAGCCUGGAUUUUACCUGCGGUGGAAACACUGUGAGACGCCAGGUGUUAGGACCUUGUGCAACCUGAGGAAACUUCUGAACAAGCUCCAGGAAGGGCACAGAGAGGAUGUCUACCUGUACACCUCCGGACACCUGAACCCCAACAAGCUCUACAGGCCCCCGCGACCAUCCUGUAUCACUGGCCCAAUGCCAACAGGCCCAAGGAGGAGAAAACCUUGGAUGUGGAAAAGCCAUCUGGUAAGAAGAUCGAGAGCAUGAAGGAUGCUUUGGCUUAUUUUACCGUCAACACAGCUCUGGGUCCCGAUGACACCCAGAACACAGCACUCUUUAGGUACUUGAACCCUGGGGCACCCAGUUCCCACCCUUCGGAGGAGGACGUGAUCCCCAAGGCGGCUCUGAGAAAGGAGGGGUCUCCGGAUCGGCCGAAGAGGGAAGAGCUGCGGCUGCCGGACAUGAGGGUUCUGAGGUUCAGAGCGGUCCAGUCCAGCCGCCAGUGCGUGUCGUCCGCAUCAGGCCCGGACAGGUACCAGUACGUCAGCUCACACCUGGCUGGCAUAACGAAAGCAGACAGUUACAGGAAGUUCCUGAGUUUCCAGAAACAAGUUCUUGCAAAGCAGGAUCUCCUGGAGAACGAUUUCACCGGGAGCAAGGCAGCCAUGCGCCACGAGAAGAAGCUGGAGCAGGAGCUCCAGAAAGUCUGUGUAUGUGACCCUGGAGACCUCAACAGGCUGCACGUCUUUGGAGAAGUUUUUGAAGAUAUUUGCAAUAGUUCUUUGAUAUUUGGUGACAUCUUGAAAGAAAUUAAGGAAGAAUAUGAACUCUACAUGCUGUUACUUCUGAAGACCCAGCCCACAGAACAGAAUAAGACUUUGCUGACACACCUCCAGGGGCUGGAGAAGAGGAGGGUGAGGACAGCGGACGUGGACCAGGCCCGCGAGGAGCUGAGGGCGCUCGUGGCCGCCGUCGAAGCCGCCCUGGACCGGAACGACAGACUCCGAAGUGACCUGGAGCUGGAGCGCGGCUUGCUGCAGUCCGCCAAGAACAGACCAGAACCAUCUGAGAAAAAUGCGGACAAGGAGCCCCUUACUCUCAUUGAGAAGGUCGAAAGAAAGAGGUGUGAAAUACUCAAUAAAUGGGACGAAAUCCAAGCUCUUGAAAGACAAAUGAAAACAACUUUGGUUCACACUGGAAUUCUGUGUAUCACCGAGAAUAAGAUUAAAAGCUUAGAGACGGAAACUGUAAAAUUGGAAACAGCAAAUAAAAUUUUAAAGAAGAAAAUAGAAAAUAUUGAAAACUACGUGAAUCAGAGCUUGGGGAAGAGCAAGUUGAAUGAGGCGGAACAACAGAACCUUUGGAAAUUUAUCAAUGAAUUUGUAAAAUUAAAAGAAUGGGGUGAAAUCGCUCAAGCGACUGGCAGAGUGACCUAUGAAAGUUCACAGCCACCGUGGAUACAGCGUGGGAGUUUGCAGAGGAAUAAAUGAAUGAAGAUACAUUUCUUUGGGUUGGUUUAAAUUUCCAAUAAAAUUAAUAUGGUAUACGU